UGGGGAAUAUUGGACAAUGGGCGCAAGCCUGAUCCAGCCAUGCCGCGUGAGUGAUGAAGGUCUUAGGAUUGUAAAGCUCUUUCACCGAUGAAGAUAAUGACGGUAGUCGGAGAAGAAGCCCCGGCUAACUUCGUGCCAGCAGCCGCGGUAAUACGAAGGGGGCUAGCGUUGUUCGGAAUUACUGGGCGUAAAGCGCACGUAGGCGGAUAUUUAAGUCAGGGGUGAAAUCCCGCAGCUCAACUGCGGAACUGCCUUUGAUACUGGGUAUCUCGAGUAUGGAAGAGGUGAGUGGAAUUCCGAGUGUAGAGGUGAAAUUCGUAGAUAUUCGGAGGAACACCAGUGGCGAAGGCGGCUCACUGGUCCAUUACUGACGCUGAGGUGCGAAAGCGUGGGGAGCAAACAGG
rnacentral:rRNA from 1 species